rnacentral:lncRNA from 1 species
GCUAAAGUCAACAGUCGCUUGGUUUGAGCUCAAAUAAAUGCGGGGAUGCCUCGGCUCGGAGCAGUCGGCCUCCUCCCUCCGCGCGCUGGACGCUCCGCCAACCGCCCGCUCGCCGGCCCGCCGGCCGCCGCAGGAACCCCUGGAUAAAGACCAGGUCAACCAUGGCUGAGGAAACAGACCCAGGCUUCCCAGGGCGGUUAACCCGCCGGCCUCUGGGCAGAGACUACAAAACAAAAUAAAACAACCACAGAAAACUCCCAGUGUGUUUCCUACUCUUCUUUUACUUUUUUUUGGAGGAAAGCAAAGGGAGAUAAAUGGACUUCACCAGUGUUCUUUGGCUUCAUCAAUUCACAGGAAAUGGCAUCAAGAUAGUUCAACUAAGACAUGGUCACUAAAAACAUUAUAAUAAUACCUUUUUGAAAAACUCAGUUUCUCCUAUUUACUAAAUAUUUAUUUCAUCAACAUGGGCUGCAUUCCACUGUGUCAGGAUUCUGCAUGUGCGUGGAGCACUGUUCCAGCCUGAGAAGAUGGUUCUGAGGCCACUUAGCAAGACAUUUUCCAGCAUGAGCAGAUUUCUCUGUGGAAAUAGUGACACUGUUCUGGUGUGUUGUCUUUCCUCAGGGAACUUAAGGGGUAUAAAGCUCCUGAAAAUGUUCUUUAUGCUGGUUGAAGCUCUUAUGUCACUGUACUGAUUCCCUAUGAUGCAGAUUUGAAUCACAGAGUAAUUAAAAUAUGGAUCAAAUAAGGCUGGGGUUCACCAAGGCUGAAAGCUGUAGCCAUUCAAGGCAUCAUUUCUGUAAUGAAAAUAUAGGACCUUUUCAAAACAUGCCUUCAAGAUGGUGUUCCUUUUUCAAACAAAAGUCUAAUGACUGCAUAACUCUUCUUGAGCACAUCUUACACUUUUCUCUAGAUUUGCUUAUUUACAGCUACUGGAACAAAAAGAUGAGAUGAAUAAAGCACACUGAUUGUCCUAAGAGUCUUCUGUGACCAAAAGCACAUGAACUUCUCCCCAGGCUGAGCUUUGACCCUCCCAAGCAUUUCCCCAAAGGCCAUGACACUGCAUCGGAUUGCUCCUGGACGCUUUCCUCACAGUUUUCAACAAAUAUAAACUGAGGAAUGGAACACAGCAUCAGAUUUGCUAAUCAAGAGGCAAUGGUCCCACUCCAAAUGGGUGCUGUGUGUGAAUACAGAGCCCAGGAGAAAGGAAGGAGGUACGUGAACAUCAAGAAUUGCAAAAUCUUGCUGAACCAAUAGACCAACAGCCAUUAACAUUUGUCAAUGCAAAGAUCCUAAAAUAUGCAAGUGUGGAGUUGUCCUGCCCUAAGAGCUGAAGCUGUGACAAUCACACUGUCAUGGUAGAUAUUUAAGCUCCCCUGAGGUUACUGAAUCUAACAAUGAAUAAACAAUGAAGAGUAGCUAAUUUUUGGAAAUCUCUUUCUAUGACCGGAAGAUAUUCACAAACUCAGAGUGAUUGUUUGGGGUGAAAGAUGGUCCCAUGCCUUGUGGGCCUCUUUUUGCUAUCUAUACAAAGUUGGAAAUGAACCCCUCCCUUACAGGAAGGUGAAUAGCAACCAAAGUGAGCCCACCCUGGGAGGGCAGAGUGGGUGUACUUUCCUCAAAGAGCCCUGAACACAACAGGGCACACAAACAGCCACAGCACCCUCAACAAUGCCCCACCAUCUGCCCACCAGAGCACACAGAUUCACACAGAUUCAGUGACAUAUUCCAAAAACAGGGAAUUAGGGAGGACCCAAGGCAUGGCCAGUGUGGAGAGAGCUUUACUACUUUUAGCGCCAUUGCUAAUUAUUGGAGCAAAGAAGGGCAUACAAGGAAUGGAACCCAACCUGUUUAAAGUAAUAAAUGUCAACCCUAAAGUGCAUGGAACCAUCUCUCCUUCCCUUUUGAGGACCGUGUGCUUCACAAGCUUGGCAUUUGCUGCAUGGGGUUUUCUAAUGUAAUGUGAAUUUUCAAUGUGCUUUGUCUCUGUAGAGUGGCUUUAAAAAGCCCUUGAAGUCCUUAGCUUUAAAUCCAUGCUAAUAGGGGAAGUCUUUUUUUUUUGGAGGUGGGGAGCUUUGGUUGGGAGAAACAUUGACCCAGACUGCACUCUGGGUAAACUAGGGCGAAAGACCUGAUAUCGUCUGCAGGGUACUUAUUAACCACUGUUCAUUUGCAGGAUCAAUAUUUCCAGCAAAGGAGUCAACACUCAAGAUACACUGCUACGUCUCACUUUUUCCUUGACACAACAAUUUAUUUUAUAAAUGCAUCUGCUGGAGAAGAAAAGGCAGUACGAAGGAUUGUGUCUUUUAUCUCCAGGAUAUGCAAAGCACAUUUAUUUUCAGCUUUUAUCUCUGGAAUUGUAUGUUGAUCCCAUACAUAUAGAUUGAUUUUGUUCAGGUAGAUAAUGAAAAGUCAAGUGGAAAAUUACACAAUGGCAUUCACGAUCCUAGUCUUAUAUCGGUAUAUAAAUUGGUUUAUUAUUUCAUUCUAUUAAAGAGGCUUUUUUUUUUGGUACCAGGAAAACUUCAAAAUGCAUUGUGUUGUCAGCCUCACUGAAUUUUCUUUUGGAGGAGGAGGUGGGGAGGGGAAGCCAAAGCCCCGAUUUCUCCUGCUCCUUUUGCUAAUUGUAUUGGCUAAAUGAGCUUUCACAGAGGGGGGUCCUGGCUGCUUUUUGCUCUCCCCCAGCCCACUUGUAGGUUGCACACACGGCUUCUAUAACUCUUUCUCGGUCAGGACAAAGAUAUCCACCGUGCACACCCUGUGACAUAGUGGAUAUUUAUUUCAUCCCGGGCAAUUCUAAAUUUUGUCAUUAUGACUGAAAGAGGCAAUCCCCUCCUGAGCAUUAAGAGGCCAGGGGUGAGAGGGUGGCAGCAUAGAAAAGCCACCACCCAGAGACAGCUUGGAGCCACAAUCCUGGAGGAAAUGUUAUUAAUAAACAUCUUUUGGACAUUUGGUAGCCCGUGGAGCUUGCUCCAGCUUAAAGCAAUUAAUUCAGGACACUGACAUAAACUCUCCAGAUCUUUGACAGCUUGGAGCCGAAAUAAAAAUGCUAGUUCUCCGGGGAAGAGAAGAGGAUGGCUAGCCCUUUUCUGGACUGUUUGCUUAUAGGCCCAGAGAGCAACCUUCCUAGCAGAAUGAAAUGCAAGGGCACAAACAAUGUACCAGGGAGAGAAUAGAAGAUGGGAAUGAACAGUUUGAACUAUUUGCUCAGCAGAAGGGCACCACAAUGCUGGGUAGUGGUUUUCCCAUGCGUCCACUGUCCGUUCUUUGGGAUCUUUUGUUGUUCCCUGUCUCCUUUGGCCAGAUAAGAGCACAGCUGCAGCAUUGCAGCUAACAAGUAAGGCCGUACUUAUCCCCCUAAAUCUCGGGGUGCCUUUACUGUAACAAGUUAUGCUCGGCUGUCUUUUAUUUUACAAGAGGAUGGUGAGGGAGAGAAUGGAAGAACAGAGGGGGCGGACGUAUAGGACACUGACACUGCCUAUGUCUGAUUUCUCUUUCUUUUCUUUCUUUCUUUCUUUCUUUCUUUCUUUCUUUCUUUCUUUCUUUCUUUCUUUCUUUCUUUCUUUCUUUCUUCUCUCUCUCUCUCUUUCUUUCUUUCUUUCUUCUUUCUUUCUUUCUUGCAAGCUGUGAUCAGAUGCAAUCUAUGUGGGCAUUUAAAUGGAAGGGUUCAGUGAUGUGUAUUGCUUGCCAAGCCAAAAUGUUGCCUUUUGGGGAGAAGGAGGAGAGGUGUUCAUGGAGUGCAGGGAAAGGAGGUUUUGGGGCAGAGAUUUUGAUUUAAAAUAACCAGACUUCUUCUGGCUGCUGAAAAGAGGCAAAAGUUUUAAACUGUCAAUUUUAAAACUGUGUUCAAUUAUAAUUUGCCACUUCUGAAUAUUAUUUUGGAUUUCCCCUUUCAUGCUUAUUUUGUUCAGAAUCCUAAUGAAUAGAGGUUGCUGGACUCAGGGUAAAAACAGGAUGAACUGGAGAUGGGACAUACAAGGUACUUUUGUAAUUGCCAUAGAUUACACCUAUAAUCAGAGUAAAUGUCGUCAACAAAUAAUCAAAAUAUUUUUUACAUUUGCUCUUCUAAAAUCAGAGCCUAUUUUAAAUAUGAGAAAGUAGAUGUGAUAAUAAUAUAAACUACAACUAUAUUAAGUUGAUAUUAAAGUCAAAAUCUAACAUAGAUUUGCACUGUUGGGUGUGUGUUCCGAAUCAGUGGGUUUUUCCACUGAUGUUGAUUUCGGGAGCCAGGCUUCAAUGUUUAAUUCUAUUGUAAUGUGGUUAUUUAGCCUGAAUGGUUUUAUAAGGUGAAAAGGCAAAAAAUUUAAUUCCAAAGAAAACUAAUGGUUUACUAUGAUUGUGUUAAACAUUUCAGAAGCCCACCUGUGGGAAAUAGAAAGUUUUAAUGCUGUGUGUUUUUUUGUUUUUGUAUUUUGUCUCACUGACAAAACUGGCAGAAAAAAACGCUUUCGUAUAUUUUUCCUGCUGGGUGGUCAGAAGGAAAGGCCAUGAAGCUAAAGGUCUCCCAUUGAGACGCUGUUCUGCAAAGAGCCGACCUCACGUGCCGCCGCCAGAGAAGAGAGCACCUGUUCAUCUCGGCUCACUGUGAGGCUGAGCUUAGCGCUGGCAGGCGAGGGGCCGCACGCAUCCCCCACAGCCACCAAGAGGGCAUCCCUGCAGAGAAAUCAUAUCCGACAUGCCUGUGCCCACACCAGACUUAAGACUGCCUCUAAAAUGUCCAUGAAGCCAUUUUCCAGUAGAGCUGUUAGUUUUAACACCAGUGAGUAUUACCUUUGGUUAAAAGGAUGCAUGUGUAUAGGUGUAUGUGUGUGUGUGUUUGUGUUUUUGGACUUGUGUGGAAAAUGAAGAAAGGGUUCCAUUUAGGCAUUUGCAAAUAUUCGAUGGCAUCAUGAAAAGACAAAAAAAUCCUAUAAAAUAUAUCAUAUUUUGCUAUGAUUUUGUGUGUACAUGUAAUAAAAUUAUUAAGUAUAAA